CCUACGGGAGGCAGCAGUGGGGAAUAUUGCACAAUGGGCGCAAGCCUGAUGCAGCCAUGCCGCGUGCAGGAUGACGGUCCUAUGGAUUGUAAACUGCUUUUAUACAGGAAGAAACACCUCUACGUGUAGAGACUUGACGGUACUGUAAGAAUAAGGAUCGGCUAACUCCGUGCCAGCAGCCGCGGUAAU
rnacentral:rRNA from 1 species